rnacentral:rRNA from 1 species
UUUUAAAUUGAGAGUUUGAUCCUGGCUCAGGAUGAACGCUGGCGGCGUGCUUAACACAUGCAAGUCGAGCGAUGAAGUUUCCUUCGGGAAACGGAUUAGCGGCGGACGGGUG